rnacentral:rRNA from 1 species
GCUUAGGUUUCUCGUCUUAGGAUCAUCUGGGGUCAUUCGUACUCGUCCGCGAGAGGUGAAAUUCUUGGACCGGACGAAGACGAUCAGCAGCGAAAGCAUCUGUCAGGGAUGUUUUCUGCGACAAAGGACGAAGGUCAGGGUAUCGAAGACGAUUAGAUACCGUCGUAGUCCUGACUGUAAACUAUGCCGACUUGGGUCUUGCAGAGUAAAUACUUUGUGAGACCCACACAGAAAUGGAAGUGUAUGGGUUCUGGGGGUAGUAUGGACACAAGUCUGAAACUUGAAGGAAUUGACGGAAGAGCACCAUAAGACGUGGAGCUUGCGGCUUAAUUUGACUCAACGCGGGAAAACUUACCAGGUCAAGACAUGGGCGUGAUUGACAGGCUAAUGACCUUUCUCGAUUCCUUGGAUGGUGGUGCAUGGUCGCACUUAGUUGGUGCAGUGAUUUGUCAGGUUUAUUCCGGUAACGAACGAGACCUCGGCCUUGUAAAUAGUUUUACUGCUUACAGGGACAAUGUCGGCUACGUCAAGGAAGUUCGAGGCAAUUGCAGAUCUGGAAUGCCCUUAGAUGUCCUGGGUCGCACGCGUGCUACAAUGACGCCACGAGCGAGUUCAUGUGUUGAAAGACAUGUGAAAUCAGC